ensembl:lncRNA
GUUUUUUUCCUUCUGUUUCUUGCAUUUAUUUUUAUUUUUUUCUUGUCUUGUUGACAGUACAUACCGUAUAACUCUCCGAAUAACGGAAAGGCUCAUGCGAUUUUUGUUGGUGCCUUAAAAAAAACGUGCUGUCUUACAGUCGAUUAAUGAGAAUUUUCAAUACUAUUUGCAUUAUUUGAACUCGACGCUGUGAAAAUGAGUCAGUUUAACUGCAGUCACUGUUGUCAGUGCGCAUGAGUGCGACUCUGAAUCGGUUCUUCACAGCACGAGACCGAGAGUGUGUGUUCAGCUCCGAGGACUGAAGGAGAGCAGGGAUGGGGAGAAGGAGCUCGGAUGCGGCUCGGAGGUUGGGAGUGAGUCUUCAGUGCCUUGGAUUUAUUGUCGUCUGCUCAGAUUUCCAGGAUAAAAUAGACGCAGGCUGAGGUAUUGUAUGGCCGAGUUCCAGAUGUACGUUCUCAUUACAUGUAUGAUUUGUAGAGUAUUGUUAUUAUUGUGAAUAUAUGCAUAAAUCAUAUUUGUUGUACACACUCCAGUAAAUAUUACAUGCAGUGUAAAGUCUGAUAAUAAGAAGAAUGUUUAUUUUUUCAGUAUAAUGUGCUUUACUUUGAAGUGAAAAUGUAUACUUUCUGAAUAUUAGAAAUAUUAUACGAUCUGUACAGUCUAAGUACUAGAUCAAAAGAUCAAAGCUGAAUGUUAUAAGGGCUGUUACGAUCACCUGCCUUUUAUUUAUUUUUAACACCUGACAUUUACGCCAUAAUCCUUAAAGUGCAUUUCUACUCAACGGAAGCUUCACCUACUAAUGUCAAUUAAAAAGGAGUCAGACGGGGUAGGCAGGGGUAUACAGGGAAGACAGGGGUAGGCAGGGGUAUACAGGCGUAGACAGGGGUAUACAGGCAUAGACAGGGGUAGACAGAGGUAGACAGGGUAGGCAGAGGUAAAUAGGGCUAGGCAGGGGUAGACAGGGGUAGGCAGAGGAAGACAGGGGUAAGCAGGGUUAUACAGGGUAGACAGGCGUAGGCAGGGAUAAACAGGGUAGACAGGGGUAGGCAGGGUUAUACAGGGUAGAUAGGGGUAGGCAGGGUUAGACAGGGGUAGUCAGAAGUAGUCCUCUGACUCAGGAUCCUCAUGCCCUCACUGCAUUUCCCCAGGGCCUCAGGAGGGAGGCACACCGUUAGCCGAGUUAAAUGGUCAGAUGAUGGUCCUGUUAUGAGAAUGGAUUCAGAAAUUAGAGAUUUCAGACAAAGAUUGCAUGCCUCCCCUUUCGCCUGCCAGCUGGUUAAGAUUAUGAUUGAUUUGUUUGAGAUGGGCUAUAGGAAGCAGGCAUCGAUUUUUUAAAUGAUUUUUCAUCUCCUUCACCCUGAAAAAUAUUUACAGUUGUACCACAGGACCAUAUUUUCACUAGGGCUCUCUCUCUCUCUCUCUCUCUCUCUCUCUCUCUCUCUCUCUCUCUCUCUCUCUCUCUCUCAGAAAUGCUAUCAGCUGAGUCCAAGACAAGAGGAAUGAUUGGGAAUUUUAACUAUUUUUAUAGAUAGAAGAAAGAAAGAACGAAAUGUGUAUUAAUUACAUCAUGUAACAAGACAAUAAUUCUUUAGAUAGGUAGAUAGAAGAAAGUUUUGUAUCAAGGAAGGACACAAAUUUAGAAAGAAAGAAAGAAAGAAAGAAAGAAAGAAAAGAAAAAGAAAGAAAGAGCACCACCUGGUUGGACAAGUUGCUACUGCCAUCACUUACACUCAAAACAUUCACAUGUUUAGUUUCAACAUUGUCUUGAUUUACAUUUUAGGGGUCAUGUGACGUUUUCAAAUAAUUCAGUAUUAUAUUCUAUCAUCAAGGCUUUAUUUGUCCACAGUGUAUUCAAUAUUAUGGACACAGAGGACAGUUUAAAAGCUCUUCAAAAUGGCUUGCUGUUCUCCCAUAGACAGCUCUCUGAUCUUCACGAUGGCUUAUCCUUUUUAACAACAAAUGCGGGCUUCAUAGGUGAAAGUGAAGACUAAAACCAGGACUAGAUGUUCAGAGCUAUUUAUUGUUCAAAGAAUCAAUCUAAUGGGACACACCUGGUUAACAAGAAACACCUGUCAGUCACAUGUUCCAACAUUUUUGCUGCAGUAUUGGCCUUGCAAUUCCAGUAGUUUAGACACGGACAGUAUCUGCAUGUGUGCAUGUAUGCUUGUCUCUCGUCACACUGUAUGAGUGUGUAUUUCUGACUCUGUAUUAAAUAUCUGUAAAUAAACUCCAGUGCUUCACACGUUCCUGUGUUUGACCUUUGAACUGAAGCAAACAAGUGUGCUU